rnacentral:lncRNA from 1 species
AAAUGUGCCUCCUCGUCUUCCCCUAGUGCAGCAGGCUACCUAGCUUCCUGUAUGCUAUUAAUUUCCUGAAUUACAAAAGAAACCUUUACCUUACAGUGCAAUUUGCAUAUUCAUAAAUUUUGAGUUGCCUGGAGAACGAGUUGACGAUUUUGGACCUAAAGGCCUCUGAAUCUGUGUUAACCAUUUGAAAAUCCUAAUUAAGUGGGAUGUUAAUUGCAACGCUAACUGCCAUUUUGAGUAUUCAGUUCUUUGUGAUCCAUGUGCGUACUUCCAAGCUGUACCUUGCACUACAUCCUGAGUAGUCCUGCAGUAUGGAAGGGAUGCAGAAAAAGGAUCGGUGUCUUCUGUUGCAGUGAAGGCUGCAAGUACUGUGUCUGUGAUAAGCAGCAGGACUACCAAAACUCAUCGAUGUAUGAGUGUUGAAGCCAGGACACAUCAGAGCUUACACACUUCUGUGAGAUUUGAAUAGUAUAAAGUAAGUCUGACCUGUUGUACAAUGCAGAGACAAAUAUUUCAACCUGGAUUUUCAGCAUAAGCAUAAGAUUCCCCUGCAGCCCGCGAAGAGGCCCCUGUCAGAGCAGAUCUCCACGCUGCAGCCCGUGGAGGAGCCCCCGGUGGAGCAGGUGGAUGUGGCCUGGAGGAGGCUGCGGCCCAUGGAGAGCCCCCGCAGGAGCAGGCCCCGGGCCGGAGCUGCAGCCCGUGGAGAGGAGCCCACGCAGGAGCAGGGGGUCUGGGGGGAGCUG